AUUGAACGCUGGCGGCAGGCCUAACACAUGCAAGUCGGACGGUAGCACAGGGGAGCUUGCUCCUCGGGUGACGAGUGGCGGACGGGUGAGUAAUGUCUGGGGAUCUGCCCGAUAGAGGGGGAUAACCACUGGAAACGGUGGCUAAUACCGCAUAAUGUCGCAAGACCAAAGAGGGGGACCUUCGGGCCUCUCACUAUCGGAUGAACCCAGAUGGGAUUAGCUAGUAGGCGGGGUAACGGCCCACCUAGGCGACGAUCCCUAGCUGGUCUGAGAGGAUGACCAGCCACACUGGAACUGAGACACGGUCCAGACUCCUACGGGAGGCAGCAGUGGGGAAUAUUGCACAAUGGGCGCAAGCCUGAUGCAGCCAUGCCGCGUGUAUGAAGAAGGCCUUCGGGUUGUAAAGUACUUUCAGCGGAGAGGAAGGCGAUGUGGUUAAUAACCGCGUCGAUUGACGCUACCCGCAGAAGAAGCACCGGCUAACUCCGUGCCAGCCGCCGCCGUAA
rnacentral:rRNA from 1 species